rnacentral:lncRNA from 1 species
ACUCAAAAACUCCAUUACUACACUUUCAAAAAUCCUAAUUUCGAAACUUGCAUUUCCUCAAUGUUUCUUCCAAUUUUUCCAUUGAAUCAUCAUCCAUACACCAUAAAUAAACUUCUGCAUGCAUUUAUCAUCAACUGUAACACCUCCAUUACCAUCUCCCAAAGCCCAUUUUUUGUCACUUUCAACUUGAAUUGGGUAGAACAUUUCAGAAGGUUUAAAGGAAAAGUAACUAUACCAUUACACUCCUGGGGACUCAAGGAAGCUAAAGG